rnacentral:rRNA from 1 species
CUGGCGGCGUGCUUAACACAUGCAAGUCGAACGAUGAAACUAUGACGGAGGCUUCGGCCAACUGAGUGGUGGAUUAGUGGCGGACGGGUGAGUAACGCGUGAGUAACCUGCCUGGGAGUGGGGAAUAACACAGUGAAAAUUGUGCUAAUACCGCAUAAUGCAGUUGUACCGCAUGGUACUGACUGCCAAAGAUUUAUCGCUCUUAGAUGGACUCGCGUCUGAUUAGCUAGUUGGUGGGGCAACGGCCUACCAAGGCGACGAUCAGUAGCCGGUCUGAGAGGAUGAACGGCCACAUUGGAACUGAGACACGGUCCAGACUCCUACGGGAGGCAGCAGUGGGGAAUCUUCCGCAAUGGGCGAAAGCCUGACGGAGCAACGCCGCGUGAGUGAAGAAGGCCUUCGGGUCGUAAAGCUCUGUUGUCGGGGACGAAUGUACGAACUAUCAACAACGGUUCGUAAUGACGGUACCUGACGAGGAAGCCACGGCUAACUACGUG